rnacentral:lncRNA from 1 species
GAUGUCGAUAGGUCGGGGAGUAAACCCUCGACUGGCUCGCUCUCCCUGCGACCGAUGGUGACGGCCUCCGCCUCCAGCCUCCAUCUCCGUUCGACGACCGGACAGCGCCGCCCCCCGCGCCCUCCUUCAAGAGAACCGCCUCCACAGUCCGUCCCUCCGGCAGCGGCGACGGUGACGGACCAGGCGUCAUCCAGCUCCCCUCUGUGUCAAAGCUUCUAUCACCUCCGGCGACGACGAUGGCCAGGAGGUCACCCUCCUUUCACCAAGGUUAUUACCUCCUCCUCCUCCUCCUCCUCCUCCUCCUCCUCUAUCCAGUGUUUUUCUUCUCCAUGGUGAUGCCUUCCCUGCUACACGCACUGACGAGCACCUGUACAGAUCCAAGAAACUCCUCUUGCGUCUGAGAUUUGUAUCACAAUUGAGCAAGUGUACACCUUACAACCACGUUUGCAGCACCUCUAACCAUCCUGAUCUCACAACUGAGCACAAUCACCUUUGUUUCCUUAUGAUGUUGUAUACACGAUUCUAAUCUAUGCACAAUGUUCUUUGUGAUUAAUUAACUCUUGGAAUGCUAUUUUUUUAGUCAGGCAUAGCUAACAAGCUGUAUAUUUGAACAAUGGCUUUAUGGAGGUGUAUAGUAUUAGCUUUCCUUUAUAAAUCGUUAGCAACAUUUAGUUUCACCUAAAAUCAACAUUAUGACAAGCUGACUGUAACCGAACAAAGACAACUUUUAUUAUGCAGCCCGACUUCUUAGGGUUGAGAAUUAUGUCAUAGGAUCUGCACCAUGGGCUGCAUUUACUUAUUUAAUCCUUGCACUUUUUCUAUAUGCUUCCUAUGAUCUUACUUGUUGUGAAUUAUCUUGCAAUACCAUUUUAUUUAACUCACCAUGUCAAGAGGACAUGCCCUGUUUUACAAUCGCUAGUUGGUCCAUGUUUUGCUUGGUUCUGUGAAAAUAUGUGUGGCGUGAACCUGAACUGCACUAAUUCUUGAUGUGAUGUAUAACUCGAAGAUGGUUACUUCAGUGCACAGUGAGCUGAUGCAUCACAUGACAUCCCUUGAAAUUCUUUUACUGCUCCCCUUCAAACUUGGCACCGUUCUUGAUUACAGUCUUGUUCCCACCAGAAGCAUGAAUAUGAGCUCAAUACUUAAUACGACAGGUAUAUGACAUGAAUAGGCCUUGCAUGAUCAAGAAAACCAAUGAUACAAAUUGCAUCUGUCGGUAAACUUGGCCUAGAAUAUCACAUAUUUUACCUUAGAAUCUUUUGGAUAACCUGAAGUAUGCUUGUCUUGCUUUUACUAAUGGUGUAGCAUAAACGUAUUAGUCAUUGGAAUUUAAUUCUUUUGAUGAAAGUAGCAUUAGUAUCAAGCUAAUUGUUCAGUUUAACUCUGGCCAUCAACAAAGUUGAAAAUUACUCUCAUUCAAGUUGUUCCCUAUUGUACCAAGCUAUAGAACCAAGGUUUGAGCAUAUGUAAUCUUGAUAAUUGGCAUUGGUUUACUCAAGUUCAUUCAAAUUCCUUUUUGAGAAAACACGCGUUUCAUUCAUUGAAAAGGUGGGGAAAACAAUACAGGAACCUCUAAGGAGGGCUAAGAAAAUACAUGAUGGGCGUUGUGGACGUCCCAGGUUGUCGGCAAAAACAUUCUAAGGACGAGGGCCCCUGCUCUAGACCAGAGGGCAGCUUCCUCCUUGAUGCGCGCGACUGUGUUUGGGGCAGAGGGGAGGGCUCUAGACCAGGGGCAGCUUCAACCUUAGCCAGGAGAAGGUUUCAUGCCAGACUUGCCGGGAAAAUGGGCACUCGAUGAGGAGAUGCGACAUGGUUUCCAUUGCCUGGUCGCAGAGGAGACAUCUCGGGUGGUGUUGUAGACCUCGAUGCUGCAGAUGUUCUGCUGUCCAGCAGCGAUCUCUUUUGGCCAAUCAGUGGAAGAACUUAACAUGUGGAGGCACCAACUCUUCCAGAUGAACUUCCAGGCGCUGUAUCAUGAGCUAGCAGAGUAUGUGCAUCCGUGCUCCUACCGCUCCACUUCCAGGUGAUGGCGUCGGGUUGGUCAGAGGGGGUGAAGCUCUCAAGUUCUCGGCAAAGCAUCAGGUAAUGUCCAAUCUCAUCGAGGCCGAUCAUUCAAGUUCUCGAAAAUUUGAAGCUUGAUUUGUAAAACACAUAUUAGUGAUAAAGCAAUUAAAAGAUGAAUCCAUGUACUAUUAAGACUGCGGAUUAUCCAAAAGAGAGACCAACAUUUUAUAAUGUUUGCAUCUGUUUGUUUGCCAACAUGCAUAUAAAUAAGAAUUUGUGCUUAUGUUAUAUAUAUACUAGUUUAAAAUCUCAUAUUGUGUAGUAACAAUAAUGUUCCUUUUUUGCUUUGCAGGUUUCCUAAAGAUAGCAAAUAAAAAUGUUCAAAGAAGUUGAUGCUGGAAGUUUCAGUGAAGUAUCUAUUUCAACAGCAAAACUUUUUGCUAUGGAAGUGUCACAUAUGGGCAUUUUUUUAAUGGAGCUAAAUGCUUAUUCUUGCUGGAUUUUUACCCGUAGUUAGUAUUUUAAAAAACAUGAUUAGCACACUAAUUUUUAUCCUCAGUAGUGUUGUGUAAUUUGUGUGACUCGAACGUAUAACUUAUUGUUAGCGUGUAAUUGGGUUGAAGUGUUAAUUUGCU